CUUUGUUAUGUCUCACAGAGGAAAAAGACAGAGGAACAGAAUCUACCUAAAGGAAUUCUUUAAAAUAAGACAAGAACACUGUUCCCAUUAUCAGGAGUCCUGCAGGACCAGCCCUUUAGUGGAAGAGUUCCCAUACUUUUUUUUCCCCCGAGAGUAGCUGGAGACAAUACUGCCAUACUGUAAAUAAAAGGACUACAAAACUUCCUUUCAGAGGAAACCAUUGAUCAAUGAUUCUGCCGCUUGACUGCUCAUGUCUGGAUCUCAUCGCGGCGACCCCGAACAGAUGCUUAAUUUCAGAAGGAAAAUGCUAAAUAGCAUAAAGAAUGCAUGCAAUAUAUAAGAACAAGGGAAUGUAAUUCAUGUGGCAUUUUUAGCACUUUGUAAUACAUUUGUUGAAGUCAGGAGGAUACUGCUACUGUGUGGUCAAGGUGUAGCAAUCAAGAAUAAUCAUGAUGCCCAAGUUUUUAUUAUACCCAGUUGAUAAGCCUGCAGGGGCCCAAAGUAAAUUGCUGAAUAAACCAAAAUUGAGCAUACUAGUGUGGUGAGGGUGGGAUGAGGGCAGAUGGAAUUACCCUAGGGGCAGAUGGCAUUAAUCCCUUGUGUUCGUGAUGCCAGGGCAUGGUUUAAUCUCUUCACCACCCGAAGGUAUACCGCUGGAUCCUGGGCUAGGCACGGGGGCAAAUAAUGACUCUGAUGCCAAGUUACGGAACAAUGGCAGCUUUAUUGAGGUAGACAGGUGUAACAGUCUUAACAGUUUAUACAGGC